AGAGUUUGAUCCUGGUGGAACACGCUGGCGGCGUGUCUUAAGCAUGCAAGUCGAGCGGCAGGCGCAGCAAUGCGCUGAGAGCGGCGGACUGGUGAGUAACGCGUGGGUAAUCUACCUUUGGCAUGGGGAUAGCCACUAGAAAUAGUGGGUAAUACCGAAUACGUUCCCUGGGGGGAGAUUUCAGGGAAGAAAGGGUGCUACGGCACCGGCCGGAGAUGAGCUCGCGUCCCAUUAGCUAGUUGGUGAGGUAACGGCCCACCAAGGCGAUGAUGGGUAGCCGGCCUGAGAGGGUGUACGGCCACACUGGGACUGAGAUACGGCCCAGACUCCUACGGGUGGCAGCAGCUAAGAAUAUUCCGCAAUGGACGAAAGUCUGACGGAGCGACGCCGCGUGGAUGAUGAAGGCCGAAAGGUUGUAAAGUCCUUUUGCUGGGGAAGAAUAAGUGUGGGAGGGAAUGCCCGCAUGAUGACAUGAACCGGCGAAUAAGCCCCGGCCAACUACGUGCCAGCAGCCGCGGUAACACGUAGGGGGCGAGCGUUGUUCGGAAUUACUGGGCGUAAAGGGCAUGUAGGCGGUCUGGUAAGCCUGGCGUGAAAGGCCACAGCCCAACUGUGGGAUUGCGUUGGGAACUGCUGGGCUUGAGUUAUGGAGAGGGAGCUAGAAUUCCUGGUGUAGGGGUGAAAUCUGUAGAUAUCAGGAAGAAUACCGAUGGCGAAGGCAAGCUCCUGGCCGAUGACUGACGCUGAGUGCGAAAGUGUGGGGAUCAAUAGGAUUAGAUACCCUGUAGUCACACUGUAAACGAUGUGCACUAGUGCUGGGGCGGUAGCUUCAGUGCCCGGAGCGGACGUGUAGUGCAACGCUGAGAGUAUGCUCGCAAGGUGAAACUCAAGAUUGACGGGUCGACAGCGGUGGACCAUGUGGAUUUAAUUUCAGAUAGUGUGGUAAUAGACU
rnacentral:rRNA from 1 species